UACUUAGUCUCAGCAAGCCACUCCCCAACCACUGUGUUUGUUUUUCCCGCAUCAAAACACGGAACACCCCCACCAUAACCAUCAACCACCAUCAUCGAGACCCUUAUCGAUCUCCAUCGUCACGUGAAAACUGGCGCCACCGAAGUGUAGUCACUGCCAAGUCCCACCAUCACAGAGAAGCCACCUGGCCGCGCCAACCCCCAUUCACUGCUACCACUCCUCCACCAUAAACCACCGCCUUUAACAAGUCUCUGUUUUGCACCACCGAAGUGUAGCCGCUGCCUCCCGCCUCCCUUUCGUAGCUGCAGCCCGAGCGGAAACCGAGAACCACCAAUCCAAGCUGCUGCACCACCGCAAACCGCCAGCCCCGUCCGUUGACCCCUUUUUCCGCAGCCGUUCAUCGCAGUUACGCGGCCCCUCACAUCACCGACGCACCUCUGUUUUGGUUCUCAAAAAACAGAGCAUCGCUCCCUCCACGUUGAGCUACAACCCAGCCACCCCAUGCAGCCACUACUCAACCCUCUUCAGCGCCGGGAAGACUACACAGCACCGCCGAUCUAUAGAGCCCAGGACCACUGUUUCCCCUCACGUGUUCAGCCUGCUGCCCCACCACAGUAGACAACCGCCCAGCUCGCCGCCCAUCGUGCUCUCCAUUUCUCGAUGAGCCGCUGCCUCGCAAACUCCUAUUUUUCGAAACAUGGCUUUACUUUCUACGAACAAAAGUUCUACUGAAGCUUUGAUUAGUUGAUAAUUUUUGUUUCAUAAUUCCUCCAUAUCCAAGAUCAGAGGCAUCUAUUUCAAGGAUUUUCAAAGUAUGAGGAGAUGGGAGUCCUAAGCAUGGUGACGAUUGAAGAUUGCUCAGUACUGUGGUGGGAAAAUUUUCAAAAGUUAAGAAAUCCUGGUGACGAGAUUAUUAGAGGUCGAAUUCAAGGCAUAUAUAAUACACUGCAGGAGUCAGAUGAUAUGGAGAGUCCAACUGAGGACCUGGAUUAGGAAUGGUGAGCAUGAUUAAGCUGAGGAAAGGAUGUUAAAUGAAGAAAUACUAAUGUCUUUUAGAUUUGAUGUCUUUUAGAUUUAAUUAUGUUUUUGCUUUAGUAGGACUUAUGGAAUUAUCAAUUUGCUACGUUAUGACUACCAGGAGAUUGUGGACCCCUUGGUUUAUUAUUAUUGCAAUAAUGACUUU